UACGAAGGUCCCAAGCGUUAUCCGGAUUUAUUGGGUUUAAAGGGUGCGUAGGCGGGUUAUUAAGUCAGUGGUGAAAGCUCCCAGCUCAACUGGGAAACUGCCAUUGAUACUGAUAGUCUUGAGUAUGAUUGAGGUGGGCGGAAUGUGUCAUGUAGCGGUGAAAUGCUUAGAUAUGACACAGAACACCGAUUGCGAAGGCAGCUCACUAAGCCAUAACUGACGCUGAUGCACGAAAGCGUGGGGAGCAAACAGG
rnacentral:rRNA from 1 species